UACCAGCCGGGGGAGUAGCGGGUCCCUGCACCUGAAAUCCGCUAUAUGCAGGGGUAGAUCCCCUCUUUGAGGGCCGAAGCGAUGCGGUCCGGAAUGUACGCGCUGUGUUGACGGGUGGGUCCCGCGCAAUCGGUCGCCGCGAACCAUGUCAGGUGGGGAACCAAGCAGCAUUAAACGGUCAAACCGGUGUGCCGCGGGGGUGCCUGCCCUGAGCAGAGUGUACGGAUCCCGCGCAAAGCAGGUGCUCG
rnacentral:SRP_RNA from 2 species